UGGUCGCAUUUAGUAACUGCGAACAGCUCCAAACCACGGGUUUGAAAAUUACACACUUAUCUUUUAAAAUAAGUUAAAACUUCGUGCAUUUUCUUUCGAUAAAUUAGCUUAUUAUUUCAAAUUUUCAAAGAACUCAGACACAGCAGCCCAUGUCUUCUCCCUCGUCUCGCCAUUUUUCUCUGAAAAUGGCUAAUCGUUGCUGAAAUUCUUCAAUAAACAGUCACUCAUCUUCUACCUCUGAUUUUCGCGAGAAACACAUCAUGCCUUUCCUCCUCCAAGUUUCGAGUCUGGGACCAAAAACAAGGAAAUCAGAACCAACAUUCUCUUCUCCUAUUAUUCGAAUUAGGGCAAAACUAAACUUCAAUCAUCUUCUACCUUGAGUUCUCACAAGAUCCAUUGCAAGCCAUCUUCUCUUGCCGUCAUUUUCGGAUGAACCAAGACACUCCAUGGAUGGUCUAUUCUUCUUGUUGAUUAAACAAAAUUAUGUUUUGAAUCUUCUCAAUCUCUAUGUGUUAUUUUACUCCUUUUUCUUAUUCUUUUGUUUUCCUCUCAAGAAUCAAGCCAUAGGCUUCAAUUGAUAUGAGUUUCGAGCAACAUUAAUGGUAGUGGGCCUUCCCUUCCAUUGAAGGAUUAUUCAAGCAAUCAGCAGCCGAAAUCCUCCUUUCUUGUGCCUCUGAAUCUGCCGCAAACCAAGGAAGCCAACACCAACUUUGUUUCUAUUGAUUUUGCAUCAAAAAUCAGAACAACCUUAUCUCUUGUUGCUCCUAAUUCCUGCCGCAAACAAUUGUUUACAGAUUGGUACCGGCAGGGAAUGAUGGGAUAACGGAGGUGAUUAAAGUUUACAUGGAAGGCAUAUUGAAUUGAGUAUGUGAGAAGUUGUACUGUUGUAUUGGGUUUUUAGUAAGUGUGCUGUAGAUUUGAUUAUGUUGACUUGGACUUUUAUGGUGACAUGUAUGAUUACUUUGAAUUUUGGUUUAGAUGUUUGGACUGAGGAUUAGUUAUUACAAUUAUGUUUUAGA